GUCCUCGUAGCUCAAUUGGCUAGAGCGUUGGCUGUAAUAAAGCCUUCUCCUUUCUGGCGUGGGUUUGAAUCCCACAGAGGCCA
rfam:Schistocephalus solidus strain NST_G2 genome assembly, scaffold: SSLN_scaffold0018576